GUGCCUAAUACAUGCAAGUCGAACGGUCUUUCUAUGGAAGCUUGCUUCCACUGAGAAGAUAGUGGCGAACGGGUGAGUAACACGUGGGUAACCUGCCCAUAAGAGGGGGGAUAACAUCCGGAAACGGGUGCUAAUACCGCAUAGUUUUCUUGAUCGCAUGAUCGGGAAAGGAAAGACGGCCUUUGUGCUGUCGCUUAUGGAUGGACCCGCGGCGUAUUAGUUAGUUGGUGAGGUAACGGCUCACCAAGACGAUGAUACGUAGCCGACCUGAGAGGGUGAUCGGCCACAUUGGGACUGAGACACGGCCCAAACUCCUACGGGAGGCAGCAGUAGGGAAUCUUCCGCAAUGGACGAAAGUCUGACGGAGCAACGCCGCGUGAGUGAAGAAAGGUUUUCGGAUCGUAAAACUCUGUUGUCAGAGAAGAACAAGUUGGAGAGUAACUGCUCCAGCCUUGACGGUAUCUGACCAGAAAGCCACGGCUAACUACGUGCCAGCCGCCGC
rnacentral:rRNA from 1 species